UACGGAGGGUGCAAGCGUUAUCCGGAUUCACUGGGUUUAAAGGGUGCGUAGGUGGAUUGGUAAGUCCGUGGUGAAAUCCCUGAGCUUAACUCAGGAACUGCCGUGGAUACUAUCAAUCUUGAAUACUGUGGAGGUAAGCGGAAUAUGUCAUGUAGCGGUGAAAUGCUUAGAUAUGACAUAGAACACCAAUUGUGAAGGCAGCUCACUACGGGAUUAUUGACACUGAGGCACGAAAGCGUGGGGAUCAAACAGG
rnacentral:rRNA from 1 species